rnacentral:rRNA from 1 species
UACGGGGGGGGCAAGCGUUGUUCGGAAUUACUGGGCGUAAAGGGCUCGUAGGCGGCCAACUAAGUCAGACGUGAAAUCCCUCGGCUUAACCGGGGAACUGCAUCUGAUACUGGAUGGCUUGAGACUGGGAGAGGGAUGCGGAAUUCCAGGUGUAGCGGUGAAAUGCGUAGAUAUCUGGAGGAACACCGGUGGCGAAGGCGGCAUCCUGGACCAACACUGACGCUGAGGAGCGAAAGCCAGGGGAGCAAACGGG